UACGGAGGGAGCUAGCGUUGUUCGGAAUUACUGGGCGUAAAGCGCACGUAGGCGGCUUUGUAAGUUAGAGGUGAAAGCCCGGGGCUCAACCCCGGAAUUGCCUUUAAGACUGCAUCGCUUGAAUCCGGGAGAGGUGAGUGGAAUUCCGAGUGUAGAGGUGAAAUUCGUAGAUAUUCGGAAGAACACCAGUGGCGAAGGCGACUCACUGGACGACGUAUUGACGCUGAGGUGACGAAAGCGUGGGGAGCAAACAGG
rnacentral:rRNA from 1 species